CCUACGGGAGGCAGCAGUGGGGAAUAUUGGGCAAUGGAGGAAACUCUGACCCAGCGACGCCGCGUGAGGGAUGAAGGCCUUCGGGUUGUAAACCUCUUUCAGUAGGGAAGAAGCGAAAGUGACGGUACCUACAGAAGAAGCACCGGCUAACUAUGUGCCAGCAGCCGCGGUAAUACAUAGGGUGCAAGCGUUGUCCGGAAUUAUUGGGCGUAAAGAGCUCGUAGGUGGUUCGAUACGUCGGAUGUGAAAAUCAGGGGCUCAACCCCUGACCUGCAUCCGAUACGGUCGAGCUAGAGUUUGGUAGGGGAGACUGGAAUUCCUGGUGUAGCGGUGGAAUGCGCAGAUAUCAGGAGGAACACCGAUGGCGAAGGCAGGUCUCUGGGCCAAUACUGACACUGAGGAGCGAAAGCGUGGGGAGCGAACAGGAUUAGAUACCCUGGUAGUCCACGCCGUAAACGGUGGGCGCUAGUUGUGCGAACCUUCCACGGUUUGUGCGACGCAGCUAACGCAUUAAGCGCCCGCCUGGGGAGUACGAUCGNAAGAUUAAACGUAAGAAUUGACGNNGNGAGNGCGAGCGACGACGAGGGAGAGG
rnacentral:rRNA from 1 species